rnacentral:rRNA from 1 species
GACGAACGCUGGCGGCGUGCUUAACACAUGCAAGUCGAACGAUGAUGCCCAGCUUGCUGGGUGGAUUAGUGGCGAACGGGUGAGUAACACGUGAGUAACCUGCCCCUGACUCUGGGAUAAGCGUUGGAAACGACGUCUAAUACUGGAUAUGAUCACUGGCCGCAUGGUCUGGUGGUGGAAAGAUUUUUUGGUUGGGGAUGGACUCGCGGCCUAUCAGCUUGUUGGUGAGGUAAUGGCUCACCAAGGCGACGACGGGUAGCCGGCCUGAGAGGGUGACCGGCCACACUGGGACUGAGACACGGCCCAGACUCCUACGGGAGGCAGCAGUGGGGAAUAUUGCACAAUGGGCGAAAGCCUGAUGCAGCAACGCCGCGUGAGGGAUGACGGCCUUCGGGUUGUAAACCUCUUUUAGUAGGGAAGAAGCGAAAGUGACGGUACCUGCAGAAAAAGCACCGGCUAACUACGUGCCAGCAGCCGCGGUAAUACGUAGGGUGCAAGCGUUGUCCGGAAUUAUUGGGCGUAAAGAGCUCGUAGGCGGUUUGUCGCGUCUGCUGUGAAAUCCCGAGGCUCAACCUCGGGCUUGCAGUGGGUACGGGCAGACUAGAGUGCGGUAGGGGAGAUUGGAAUUCCUGGUGUAGCGGUGGAAUGCGCAGAUAUCAGGAGGAACACCGAUGGCGAAGGCAGAUCUCUGGGCCGUAACUGACGCUGAGGAGCGAAAGCAUGGGGAGCGAACAGGAUUAGAUACCCUGGUAGUCCAUGCCGUAAACGUUGGGCGCUAGAUGUAGGGACCUUUCCACGGUUUCUGUGUCGUA